GACGAACGCUGGCGGCGUGCUUAACACAUGCAAGUCGAACGGAAAGGCCCUGCUUUUGUGUGGUGCUCGAGUGGCAAUCGGGUGAGUAACACUUGAGUAUCCUGCCCUUUACUUUGGGAUAACUUCAGGAAACUUGGCCUAAUACCCGAUAGGAUCUCCUGCUGCAUGGUUGGGGUUGGAAAGUUUCGGCGGUUGGGGAUGGACUGGCCGCUUAUCAGCUUUUUGGUGGGGUAGUUGCUUACCAAGGCUUUGACGGGUAGCCGGCAUGAGAUGGUGAACGGAGAAAAUGGGACAGAGAUAAGGCACAGAAUCCUACGGGAGGCAGCAGUGGGGAAUAUUGCACAAUGGGAGGAAGCAUGAUGAAGAAACGCAGCGUGCGGGAUGAAGGCCUUCGGGUUGUAAAAAGAUUACGAAUGUGACGAAGCGUGAGUGACGGUAAUGGGUAAAGAAGAACCGGCUAACUACGUG
rnacentral:rRNA from 1 species